CGUACAUCGAGAGAGGCGCGAGGGAACUGGCCCAAAGACCGCCCGGCAACCUGGCUUCUCCGGAGCCAAGGUGCCAAUGCCAGCCCGCCGAGAGACGGGGACGAUGUAGC
rfam:Rubrobacter xylanophilus DSM 9941, complete genome.